rnacentral:rRNA from 1 species
AUCAGCCUUUUGGGUGUGAUUUUGUGGAGCGUGAGGAGUUAAACGCCUUCAUUGCCUGCAUAUUCGUGCACUUUGGGUGUACUUUGCCCGUAUGGUUGGUUAACAUCAAUUUUGGUGGUCAUAAAAUGACUGGAGGAAUGUAGCUUCGAUCUUGUAUUGAAGUGUUAUAGCCUUCGGUAGAUGUGAUGAUCGAGAUUGAGGAUUGCAACGGAUACCCUUCGGGGCUACCUGUCUGAUCUCUGAUCGUUGCUCUGGUGCCGAAAGCUUGCUUACGGUUAUCAAAGUCGAUGGUCAAUAGGUUAGAACGGGUUAAAUUCGUUAAGGAUGUUGACGUAAUGGCUUU